rnacentral:rRNA from 1 species
AUACGGUGAAUACGUUCCCGGACCUUGUACACACCGCCCGUCAAGCCAUGGAAGCUGGGUGUACCUAAAGUCGGUAACCGUAAGGAGCCGCCUAGGGGUAAAACUAGUAACUGGGGCU